UCAAAAUAGCCUACUUUCUUAAAUUAACAAUAUCUAUUCUCAUAGAAUUUGUCCAAUUAAGUGUAGACGAUUCAUGUCUUAUUUUUUUAAAGUAUUUAAAAGUAAAAUUACAUGUUAAUACGUAGUAUUAAUGGCGAGACUCCUGAGGGAGCAGUGCCAGUCGAAGACCGAGGCUGAGACGGCACCCUAGGAAGGGACCCAUCAUCAAAAAUUCUAUUUAUAGAAUUUUACAG
rfam:Staphylococcus aureus subsp. aureus NCTC 8325, complete genome.